AACGAACGCUGGCGGCGUGGAUAAGACAUGCAAGUCGAACGGGACUAAAUCUGUAGCAAUACAGGUUUAGUUUAGCGGCGAACGGGUGCGUAACACGUGGGCAAUCUGCCGAGAAGUGGGGGAUAGCUCGCCGAAAGGCGAAUUAAUACCGCAUAUGAUCAGGGACGACAUCUUCCCAACAUCAAGGCCGGGGCAACCUGGCGCUUCUUGAUGAGCCCGCGGCCUAUCAGCUAGUUGGUGAGGUAACGGCUCACCAAGGCUAUGACGGGUAGCUGGUCUGAGAGGACGACCCAGUCACACUGGAACUGAGACACGGUCCAGACACCUACGGGUGGCAGCAGUCGAGAAUUUUUCUUCAAUGGGGAAACCCUGAAGGAGCGACGCCGCGUGGAGGAUG
rnacentral:rRNA from 1 species